rnacentral:rRNA from 1 species
CACUGACAUUAGAUACCCGGUAGUCCACGGGUGUAAACGCUGACAGACUUGGUGUUUGGAAGUCCUUUGGGGGCAUUCAGUGCCGGGAGAGAAGGUUAGUUAAGUACUGCUACUUGGGAGUACGUCCGCAAGGAUGAAACUUAAAGGAAUUGGCGGGGGAGCACCACAACGGGUGGAGCCUGCGGUUUAAUUGGACUCAACGCCGGAAAUCUCACCGGAUAGGACAGACAUAUGAUAGUCGGGCUGAAGACUCUACUUGAUGAUCUG